rnacentral:rRNA from 1 species
GACGUAGGGGGCGAGCGUUGUCCGGAUUUAUUGGGCGUAAAGAGCGCGUAGGCGGCCCGUUAAGUCGGAUGUGAAAACCCGUGGCUCAACCACGGGCCUGCAUCCGAUACUGGCGGGCUCGAGGCAGGCAGGGGAGAUCGGAAUUCCUGGUGUAGCGGUGAAAUGCGCAGAUAUCAGGAGGAACACCGGUGGCGAAGACGGAUCUCUGGGCCAUUACUGACGCUGAGGAGCGAAAGCGUGGGGAGCGAACAGG